UACAGAGGUCUCAACCGUUGUUCGGAUUCAUUGGGCGUAAAGGGUGCGUAGGCGGUCGCGCGAGUCGGAUGUGAAAUCUCAGGGCUCAACCCUGAAACUGCAUUCGAUACUGCGUGGCUAGAGUGCUGGAGGGGAGACUGGAAUUUACGGUGUAGCAGUGAAAUGCGUAGAUAUCGUAAGGAAGACCAGUGGCGAAGGCGAGUCUCUGGACAGCAACUGACGCUGAGGCACGAAGGCCAGGGGAGCAAACGGG
rnacentral:rRNA from 1 species